rnacentral:lncRNA from 1 species
AUUCAAUAUACUUAAAAAGCUUUCCUCACCCCUGUUUUGAACUACUCAAUCAUGAGAAGAUUGUACACUUUCAAGUCAAUCACUUCUCUUCUUUGCAUGUUUUCGUUUUGUCAUUGAACUAAUCCGUAUUUUCCCCUAGAUCCUGAUCCUACUCAUCUUUCAAGAAUUGUCUCCAUUUCUUAGCUUUCUCUACUCCUCCCCCUUUUCCAGUUAUUUUAGGCUAGAAGGAUGGAGACAUCCAGUCCUCACUCUGGUUUUACAACCCAUGAAGACUCAUUUUGAAGAAGAAUCCAGAUUUAAAAAAGGUGUCACAGGACAGGAAGGCAGAAACAGAGACCAUAUGAACCUAUCUUCUGGUCUUCCUGCUAUGACAUAAAGCACCAGAUAUGGAUUGUUGGUCAGAAGCUAUCCCACAGCACUGCAUCCUGCUGUGCCCCCAAAGACAUCGACUUCCAAGAUCACUGAGGCAGAAACACAGGGAUGGAGCAGGCACUUAGCUCUUCAUGCCUCAACCGAGAAGGGCACCAAUUAUCUUCCUAUAGGUAUUGUUCAGAACAUGAUCCAUGGACCUGACCCACGUGUAAAAAGAUCUGGAAUUUAGAAGAGCCCAGAAACUACGGUGACUGCCAACUGCUUCUGUCAUAGUCACCUAUGAUCGUCAAUCAUCAGGGAAGUCCUUAAUAAAAGCACACA